AAGAUUUAUACCACCUUUGGUUUCUUUAAAAAAAAGGGUUUAGUCCACAAAAAGAAUGACAAAAGGUUGCUUGUUAAAUUAAGAAAUGCAGUUUUUAAAACAUGGAUACACAAUCUAAAGUUUGUGUUUCACUAAGUUUCUAAUCAUAGUAUCAAUCAAUAUUCAGAUAAUUUGUUACAAAGAAUGUGCCCUAGCCUGACAAUCUAUGCUCUCAAGCACUGUCCUUUUUGACUGACAUUCUAUUUUCUUCCUUUCUUUUUUAUUUUCUUCUUAUUUUUA
rnacentral:misc_RNA from 1 species